rnacentral:rRNA from 1 species
UACGGGGGGGGCAAGCGUUGUUCGGAAUUACUGGGCGUAAAGGGCUCGUAGGCGGCCAACUAAGUCAGACGUGAAAUCCCUCGGCUUAACCGGGGAACUGCGUCUGAUACUGGAUGGCUUGAGUUUGGGAGAGGGAUGCGGAAUUCCUGGUGUAGCAGUGAAAUGCGUAGAUAUCAGGAGGAAUACCGAUGGCGAAGGCAGGUCUCUGGGCUAUAACUGACGCUCAUGCACGAAAGCGUGGGGAGCAAACAGG